AACCGUGCAAAGGUAGCAUAAUCACUUGCCUAUUAAUUGUAGGCUAGAAUGAAAGGGUUAACGAAAUAAAUACUGUCUCAAUUAGUAAACUAAAAAUUAUUCUCUACCUGAAGAAAGGUAGAUACACUCGAAGGACAAGAAGACCCUAUAGAGCUUAAUUUAAUUUAUAGAAUCACACUAUAAAAAUAUUCGGUUGGGGCGACCCAGGCAAAAUAAUCACCCAUAUUUUAAAAGAUAUAUUAAUCAAAUAACUGACCCUUUAAAGAUCACAAGAACAAGCUACCUUAGGGAUAACAGGCUAAUCCCACUCAAGAGUCCUUAUCAACAGUGGGGUUUGGCACCUCGAUGUUGCUUAGGGUAUCUAUUAUAGCGCAAAAGUUAUAUUAAGAUGGUUUGUUCAACC
rnacentral:rRNA from 1 species